ensembl:lncRNA
CUCCACCUCCUCCUUGAGCUCCGCCACCAUGCGGACCAGGUCAUCCACCUGCUCACACCUCAUGCACGCAGUUUCUCUGCCUCCCGCCGAUGGCAGCAACAGGCUCAGGCACUCCCUGCAUCCGGUGACCUGAACCGCUGCAUUCUUUAAGGGGCAGUCGGUCUGGGUGCAUACCGACUUCCUGGAGAGCGCACCGUGCCUGGUGGAGACCAUUAUCACCUAGCUAACGGCUGUUGUUAAGAGGUGUUCGUGUGGGCGGGGGUUGCUCUCUGCCCUUCCUGCUCGCCCUGCCUGCGCGAACUGCCGCGCUAACUGACGCGCCACUCCCUUCUGACGCGCCACGCCCUGUUUGCCCGCCCUGUUCUCUGCGCUCCUGGUCUCUCGCGCUCCCUAGGGGCAGCUUUUGAACGGCUGGGCAGGGGGCGCUGCUGGCUCCGCCUUCGCCUCGUCAGCCUCCCUCACGAGGGCUGCCGGGUCCUGGCGGCUCCCUGAAGUAGGCUCGAUGCCGGAAAAUGAGCCCUGCCUGGCCCGAUCCCCCGCUCCGCUGCAGAACGCGUCUGCCCCGGAGCCGAUCGCCUCGGCAAAUGGCCUGAUGGACAUAUGGAAGUGUUGGUAAUAGAUACAGUUCUGCAAAGGGAGUCAUGCAAAUAAAGUCCAUGGACAUGUACUUUUUGGAAGAGAAGUCUGCAGGGAUCUGAAUUCAGAACAGUCUUAUGUUCAGUCUGAAAGACGCAGUUCAGCAGUUUGUGUACAAAUACCCAGCAGAUAUUCUGAAAGCAAAUUCAUUCUCAAAUGUUAUUGUUACUAUAGUUACUGAUAAUCCAUAUACGUAAGUGAAAAUAUGAAGAAUUACCCAGGCAGAAAAAAAGAAUCUUUUCAGAUAUCUGCCCUGAAAAGUGUAAUCCAAUUAGGAGAUGCUCAAUUAGGAUGCUCAGCUCUUGGAAAUGAUUCUCUGCUUGCCCCAUUUCUUCAUGAUAUUUCACUUCCAACACCUCAAAAAUUAUUCAAUAUAUAUCUUCAAUGUAUGGAUUUGAACUAUUUAGACACACUGUGAUGUUCCAACUGAAAAGUAACAAAAACUGAAACUAACUGAGGGAAAAAUAUCAACUUGAAAAUAUGUUUUGUUUUACUCUUCAUAUACGGUAAACGAUAGUGAGAAAUUUUACUAAGGAUUCAGAUAUUUUCUACUUUUAAAUGUAUAGUUAAAUUAUACCAUUUAACUGUUACAGUGAAGUUAACAUGGUCAAUGGAAGCAGUGUUAUGUAAUAAUUCAGCACAUUAUUAAAUAUUCAGGUGAAAAGAAAAUCAAAGUGUUUUGUUCUAUUUUUCAAUAACCAUGAAGGUUACAUGAUCUAAAAUAUGAAUCUAUCUUCUCUUUUGUCAGCCAUAGGAAACACAAAAACAUUGUUUUUUAUCUAUAAUAUCGUUGAAACACAAAGACCCAUUACAUAUCAGAAAUCUCUUUGCUUUAAUAUAACAACGUAAUCCAUACACAUACCCAUGAAAGUGAAAGUAACAAAGAGUGAUAGCAAAACUGGAACCACUGCUUAGUUAAACUAUAAAACCAGAACUACAGGACAAAGUAUUUAAAUUUUGGACAUUGCCAAGUAUAUUUGUGACUUUCAGUACUGAGUGGAUCAAGAGGGAAAUAUUCCACUUUUACUCUUAGGCAAUUAAAUUAGCUUUAAGUAUCAUACUUUGAGUAUCAUACUUGUUCAAUAAGGUAAUAGACAUACAUUUUGUUGUAUAUUUUUUAAGAGCACACUGUAUUUCUCUGAUGUAUACUUUCCUUUUCUGAGAGAUCUGCAACAGAACAUGAAUACUUGACUAGUGAUUUUACCAAAACGUUGAUAGGUCCAGAUUUAUUUCAAGACACCGAACUUAGAUCAGUGAUACAAACCCUGUAGACAUUAUUCUUCUAGCUCACAUUUUUUUACUUGGGCAACCUCUCACUAACUUCAAAGUAUGUGUAUUUGGGAAAAAUUUACUUCAAAUAGGAUAAAAAUUCAGGAUUUGGUCCAGAAGGACUAUGUGACGUAAGUGUCAAUGGACUCCUUGUAAUAGCAAGUGUAGUGAGAUUUAUGGAUUGUUUAAUAGCAAGUGUAGUGAGAUUUAUGGAUUGUUUAUCUCACAGAACCACAGAAUGGUUGAGGUUGGAAGAGAAAUCUGAAGAUCACCUGAUCCAACUCCCCUGCAAAGCAAAGUCACCUAGGACACAUAGUACAGGAUCACAUCCAGGUGGGCUUUGAGUAUCUCCAAAGAAGGAGAUUCCACAAGCUCUCUGGGCAACCUGUUCCAGUGUUCUGUCACCCUUACAGUAAAUAAAUGUUUCCUCAGGGUUAGUGACAAAUCUGAAGACAAAUCUGUCUUCAGAUCCAUACAUAUGUGAAGUGGGCUGAACCAGUUUCUUCCUCUCCCUUCACCUAAGGAAUGUUACUUAGAUGUCUUUUUUAAAGGCCCAUGUUAGUUCAAAUCAAUCCAGAUUUCAGGAUUUUCACAAUCCACCUAUCAAGGCUGAGAUUUAUUGGACAAAAUACAGGUAACUGGCUAUUUAAUAUGUUAUAAUGCUCUAUUCAGCAGCAUUCACUUAUAAUACACAGAAAAUAGUUGACAAUUCUACUGUUUUGAUAGAACAUACUAUGUUCAAAAGUAACCAAACUACAAAUAGACUACGACAAACUUCACAAUCAUGAAUCAGCCUAUGCUUUGACUGUGUCAGCUGGCCUUUUGAAUUAGUUGUCUAUUUAUAUGAUAGUUUUAAUGGCACAGAUUUUCACAAGUUGUGAUAUCUAAAGCUUAAAACAUAAAAAUGUGGGAUAUAAUUAUAUAUGCAUUCAGGGAAUGGAAAUAGUAUAAUAUAAUUUGUCUGAUCAGAAGUCUGAAGUUGGCAAAAAUGAAUUCCUGUAUUCUGUCCAUAGCAACUACUAAAAUGCUUUAAUAAAAUAAUGUAAUUGAUUAAUUUGAUAAAGAUAUUCCAUCUAGAAUUAUAUAUCAUAAAAAGUUUUAGGGCUGAAUCCUAUUUCUUCUGAAAUCAAUGGGAUUUUAUCAGUAAUUUUGAAGGAAAUUUUGAUGGUCUUAUGUCCUAGAGAUUUGUUUCUUCUUGAUGCUCACCAUACUUUCUGUGAGAAUAUGAGGAGCUGUGAAGGGGAAUUCUGAAGUGCCUUGUUUACUGUUAAACUGUUUGAUAUUGAUUUAACCUAUCACAGUUGUGUCACUUGCCAUCAAUAAAUAUUUCUUUAGGAUUGUGUUUUUAUUUAUUUAUUUUCCCUUAAAGAAAGAGACAAAUGAAAAUUAAUAGGAGAAGAAUUUUAUAUUCUACUUUCUGCUUGUUCUGUAAAAUAAGGUUGUUGUGCAUAAAUAGUUACUCAGUUCUAUAAAUUAAACAUUACAGCAUUGAUAGUAGAGAUAGCUUAUAUUUUACAUUUGCAGGCUUGUGUUUGUUUGCUUUUUGUUGAUAAAUAAUAUCUUUAGAGAAGGCU